rnacentral:lncRNA from 10 species
AGAGAGGGGAAAGUACCUCUAGGAGAGAAGGCCGCAGCUGGGAGCUGGCUGGCCUGGGAGGGUGCAGACACCCUUCCUGGGGAAACACUGCAUCUUUAUCAAGGAAAACUCCCCCAUGGGCCUGUUUGGUCAGGCAGUGCCUCUGGGCAGGACCGGGAGGAGUUCAGACAGCUAAGAGUCAAAUGGCCCUACCCAUAAUGGGAAUUUAGAGCUGCUCAUGGGCACUGUGGAAGAGGAGAAAGACCCAGAGGGAGACCCACUGCAGCCAAGGAGGCUACGUAGAGGCAGUGGGUGUGGACAUAGACAAUAGACUGGACUGGUGUGGACGAUGGACAGGGUUCUGCCGUCUCCUGGGGCCCUGAGAGGCACCUACUCAUCCAGCCCUUGCAGACCAGCAGAAGUCAGAGGUCCUUCACACACUCAAAGGCAAGAGUUGAUGCAGGUGUGAAUCCCGGUGCCACCGUUGGUCUGUCUGCAACACCAGCUUCCAUGCUUGGAUCACACCUCGGAUGCACACGCUUGAAGAUCAUGUGCCACAGAAGCUCAUUUGCCAACCCUUUCACCAACUCUGGUCCAUGCACUCGGCAGCCUUCAGGCCACCCUUGAAGGUUCCACAGAGCCUCCACAGACAGGGGAGUCCCUGAAAGUAAAAAUACCUCAUGGACCAGACACCCCCCAAAACAAAGCAAAGCCACUGCCUCGAGUCCUCUGCCCCUGUUACCACCGCUUGCAGCCUUUUCUGGCUUCCACCUCCAGGUCCGUCCUCAUCCCCACCUCUCCUCCACCUUCUGCUCACAGUCCCGGCAUCCACUUGGGCUUUGUCCCUCGACUCCACCCCUGUCCUAGACUGAAUCUGAUGUCCACUCCCACUCCCAGCCCCGGCCCCACAGAGUCCCUGCUGGGUCUCAUCACAGCCUGGACGCGACCUAGUGGGACUGGCUAUUCCUGUUAAAGUAAAAUUCACAACACUUUGUGAAUUUCCAGCACUUGCACUAUCCCCCAUAGCUUCAGCACAGAUCAGUGUUUUCCUGUCUUUGACAAGUUUAUUCGAUUGUUUGAAAAUGUUGAUUAACAAUGUAGGAUCAAGGCCGGGCGCGGUGGCUCACACCUGUAAUCCCAGCACUUUGAGAGGCCCAGGCGGGCAGAUCAUGAGGUCAGGAGAUCAAGACUAUCCUGGCUAACACGGUGAAACCCCA